UCUGCUCUCCUGGACCCCAG
rnacentral:miRNA from 1 species